GAUGAACGCUGGCUACAGGCUUAACACAUGCAAGUCGAGGGGAAACGACGGGGAAGCUUGCUUCCCCGGGCGUCGACCGGCGCACGGGUGAGUAACGCGUAUCCAACCUGCCUCUGACUGAGGGAUAACCCGUCGAAAGUCGGCCUAAUACCUCAUGGCAUCGUCUGCGGGCAUCCAACGACGAUUAAAGAUUUCAUCGGUCAGGGAUGGGGAUGCGUCUGAUUAGCUUGUUGGCGGGGUAACGGCCCACCAAGGCUACGAUCAGUAGGGGUUCUGAGAGGAAGGGCCCCCACAUGGGAACUGAGACACGGUCCAAACGCCUACGGGAGGCAGCAGUGAGGAAUAUUGGUCAAUGGGCGGGAGCCUGAACCAGCCAAGUAGGGUGCAGGAUGACGGCCCUAUGGGUUGUAAACUGCUUUUAUGCGGGGAUAAAGUGAGGGACGUGUCCUUCAUUGCAGGUACCGCAUGAAUAAGGACCGGCUAAUUCCGUG
rnacentral:rRNA from 1 species